UUCGCAAUGCCCGAAAGGGUGACGAAGCGACGCCGCGUGGGUGAGGAAGGCCUUCGGGUUGUAAAGCCCUGUCAGGAGUUAAGAAAUAUAAGUGCGUUAAUACCGCAUUUAUUUGACGAAGGCUCCAAAGGAAGCCACGGCUAACUCUGUGCCAGCAGCCGCGGUAAUACAGAGGUGGCAAGCGUUGUUCGGAAUUAUUGGGCGUAAAGAGCACGUAGGUGGGUUUGUAAGUCAGAUGUGAAAGCCUUCUGUUCAACGGAAGAAUUGCAUCUGAAACUGCGAGUCUUGAGUGUAGGAGGGGAGAAUGGAACUUCUGGUGGAGCGGUGAAAUGCGUAGAUAUCAGAAGGAACGCCGGCGGCGAAAGCGAUUCUCUGGCCUAUUACUGACACUCAGUGUGCGAAAGCUAGGGGAGCAAACGGGAUUAGAUACCCCGGUAGUCCUAGCCGUAAACGAUGGGCACUAA
rnacentral:rRNA from 1 species